GGCGUUCUUUGACAAGAACAACGCCAAGGGCAGGGAGUACCACGCCUUGGAGGCCAGAGGUGGACAGAGUAUGGUUCCUGCUGACUCAGAUGGGCAUUCCUCCCAGACCCCUCCUCAGAAACUGGAGAUAAUUGUGAAGGUAGAGGGCAAAGCCGUGGAAGAACCAAGAAA